UGCGGGUCUCAGUGGCAGGUUGCCUGCAGA
rnacentral:piRNA from 1 species